rnacentral:rRNA from 1 species
GAUGAACGCUAGCUACAGGCCUAACACAUGCAAGUCGAGCGACCCGCGCACGGGUGUGUCAUACGUAUCCAACCUGCCCUUUACUCGGGGAUAGCCUUUCGCAAGAAAGAUUAAUACCCGAUAUAAAGUACGCGGAUGGGUUCCAUUAGGCUGUUGGUGAGGUAACGGCUCAACAAGCCUUCGAUGGCUAGGGGUUGGGAGAGGAAGGUACCCCAAAUGGGUACGGUGACACGGUCCAAACUCCUACGGGAGGCAGCAGUGAGGAAAAUGGGUCAAUGGACGCUAGCAUAAACGAGCCAAGUAGCUGGAGGGAUGAAUGCUUAUGGGUCGUAAACUACUUUUAGAUAAGAAUCGGUGUUAGAUGAAUAAGGAGCGGCUAACGCCGUGCCAGCCGCCGCGGUAAUUC